rnacentral:rRNA from 1 species
AUUGAACGCUGGCGGCAGGCUUAACACAUGCAAGUCGAACGAGUGGCGGACGGGUGAGUAAUGCUUGGGAAUCUAGCUUAUGGAGGGGGAUAACUACGGGAAACUGUAGCUAAUACCUCGUACCAUAGGAUGAGCCCAAGUGGGAUUAGGUAGUGGGUGAGGUAAAGGCUCACCAAGUCGACGAUCUCUAGCUGGUCUGAGUCGGUGACCGUACAACGUGGAAAUUACAAAUGGUCUAGACGCCGACGGCAGGCAGAAGAGGGGAAAAUUGGACAAUGGGCGACAGCCCGCUGCAGCCACGCAGCGUGUGUGCAGACGGCCUUAGGGAUGUAAAGCGCUUUAAGCUAGGAGGCGUUAUUCGCAGAAGAAGCACCGGCUAACUCCGUGACAGUGGCCGCGGUAAUAC